rnacentral:rRNA from 1 species
UACGGAGGGUGCGAGCGUUGUCCGGAAUCACUGGGCGUAAAGGGCGCGUAGGCGGCGCGACAAGUCAACGGUGAAAGCCCGGGGCUCAACCCCGGGUCGGCCGUCGAUACUGUUGGGCUUGAGCACUGUAGAGGCAGGUGGAAUUCCGGGUGUAGCGGUGGAAUGCGUAGAGAUCCGGAAGAACACCGGUGGCGAAGGCGGCCUGCUGGGCAGUAGCUGACACUGAGGCGCGACAGCGUGGGGAGCAAACAGG